CUUGUGGGUGCGAGGCGGAAAGAGCAUAGCCAGCAGCGUAAAGCUACAAGUGGUGGUCAAGAUUUCCAGCGUGAGAUACUUCGUAUCCUGCAUAUCAUCAGGUUAACAGUGGAACACCACACAAAACAGUUGGAGAGCAUAGCCCAGCGUUCAGCUGUAGAGGAGGAAGAAACUCCUGUUCUCGUGAAGCCUUGUACCUCACCUGAUGAGCUUGUUGAAUUUGACAACGUGCUUGCAGCAUCAUCGGACGCCAGGAGCAAACUUAAGAGGCUCCUGCAGAGCCUCGGAGG